CCCUUUUCCUGCUUUGCCUCUGAAGUGCCAGCUGUUCCGUCCGUGGCAAAGCCCCAGGGCCAGGAGCUGGCUGUCCAGCGUGGGGGUGGGGGCGGGUCCCCAGUCCCUCUCAGGUUUUAUGGCAUAAGUAAAAACCAGCUCGCCAGGGUGAGCUAUGGAAAAAGUGACUUUAUGAUAUUUUAUCCAAGACAGCGACUAAUUCAAUUAAACGAAAGGGCUUCACAGGAACUGGUCCACUGCUAUUUUUUCCCCCCUGUGAAAUCAUAAUUGGAAAGCGGUGACAGAAUGACUUUAAUGUUAUAUAAUUAAAGAUACACCAAUAUCCAUUUAAA